GACAGAGGGUGCAAACGUUGCUCGGAAUUACUGGGCGUAAAGCGCGUGUAGGCGGGCUUGUAAGUUGGACGUGAAAGCCCUGGGCUCAACCCAGGAAUUGCAUCCAAAACUACAAGUCUAGAGUGAUGGAGAGGGUAGCAGAAUUCCUGGUGUAGAGGUGAAAUUCGUAGAUAUCAGGAGGAACACCAGUGGCGAAGGCGGCCAACUGGUCCGGUACUGACGCUGAGGUGACGAAAGGCGUGGGGAGCAAACAGG
rnacentral:rRNA from 1 species